GAUCAAAGUAAAUACCCCCCCUUUCCACUACUCCUCAUUUUUUCACACUCUCGUGUUGGGUUAGGGUGUCCCAAUAUUUAAAGGAGCGAGGGGGAGUGCUAUUUAUUUAUUUUUUUAUAUUAAUCAACCCUCAAAACAUAGUGAGGUCUGAUGCAGGCUUAAAAUGAAGUGAGAGAUGAAAUUAUCCAGGAUACUUUGCAAACUCCGGGAGCCGGACACAUUUUUCAACCAAGAUGGCAGACACAGCUGGAAAGGAACAACUGAAUUGAGAGCCUGGAGGCGUGGAGGCUUAGUGUACCUUCAAGCAGCUCAACUGGGACGUCCUGGACAAACUGCUCCCACCAGCGGCGGGACGACUGCUUGGCGGUCCACUCCUGGAUGUCAAACUUACAGAGGCGGCCGGCCAGGUACAUGACGGCUACCGCAAUAAUCUCUGGCUCCCACUGCAGAGACAGCAUGGUGCACAGGCUGCCGGGGACACAGGCAACAUGGUUACAGAGAAGAACAAAGGGUACAAACAAGUACAAAGAAACAAAAGGCCGCGGCUGGAAGGGAGUCAGCGCGUCCUAUGCACGACACACUGCACUACAGAGGAAGUCAUCUGUGAUAUGAAGACAGUUUACAUGCCACAUGCUCACCUGUCAUUGACAAAGGUCCACGCCAUCUGUAGCACCUUGCACACUUUAUUCUUUUCCCCUUUAAAAGAGAA